UAUUUAUCUCUCUAAAUAUAGGAUAUGACUGCUAUACUAUUAUGAGUAUAAAUUUUUUUAUACUCAUAAAUUUAGUGGUCCCUAAUUAGGAUAAUAGCGGUUCCCUAAGGUUUAGUUGGGUGUUAGUUUAAUAUAUUGUAUGAUUUAACGGAUGAAAAUGAUUAAAGGGAUAAAUAUAACGGCUGAAAACUGAAAAGUAUAAAGGAGUCUAUACUCAUACAAGUAUAGUAGCCAAACUCU
rnacentral:lncRNA from 1 species